UUGCUCGAAGAAUCCGUAACCAAAGACUUCAUCGGUUGUUCGAAGAUCAUCAAACACCAAUCCUUGAUGCAACUCGGAGCCUCCUUUGAUCGAUCACCAGCACACCACGGGACAUUAAUUGCAUGAUGUUUCGAAAUCGGGUCUUUACUUAUGCUUUCAUCGAGUUGCUUCUUUAUUCUCCUAAUAUUGGAUAUGCAAUAAGUUUUGCCCUCAAAGUGUUUGAUGUUAUGUCUCAAAGAAACAAAUGGCCUUGUAAGAAGGCUGCAAGGGGUGAGGUGAAGCUCGGUCAUGAUUUUCUUUAUUGGUUUCUCCUGUCCAAGUUUCGACAUCCCAGGUUAUGCUUCCAUUGAAGGUGACUCCCCUUUGUAAAAGAUAACAAAUAAGCAGAUAUUUUAUAGAAGCUUCAUAUGAGCAAUACUUACUCGAGGGCCAUCCUGCAUAUUGGGCUUUUAAGGUAUCUGGUGAUGCUGCGGAUCAAAUGGGAACACUAUCCUUUGCUGUGUAGUGCUGGCAAAGAUGAGGAUGAUUCAAUUAUAAAUUUUCUCUGAAGAACGGUCAUUGGGAAUGGGAAAAUGCAGACAUGGACAAAAAUUGUUUUAUAGUUUGAACUCUGGUUCUGGUGGCUUUCUAAAUUUGCUUUCUUCUUAGGAAAAAACGGGCAAUCAAGAAAAAUGAGGCAAAAAUAUCAGAAAAAGAAUAAACGCACGGAACACUACCCUAGAAAAUCAGUUACUUAAUAUGGACAUGGAAGUUUAGUAUCAAGAGGUAGCUAUAUGAUUGCCUAUGACGGGAUUUUAUAAGUAGUACUUUAUGUCAAACAAAUAGAUUAAGAAACAUUUAUUAACUAUUUAGGGAAGUAGUUGAACCACUCGAGUGUUGCUCAUAGUUUCUUAAAUGGUUAAAACUUCUUACGUCACUUUUUAAAGAUAGAUUAUGAUUUUUUAGGUGAUGAGAGAUUGGUCAAGCGUCGGACCCCUUUGUACAUAUACUCGAAAAUAAUCUGCCUUGACCCCUUAGACAACAAGAAAUAUGGAGUCUGUAUAAUUAACCUGGAAGAGAUUGUGGUAUGGUGGAGUUUAAAUACAUAACGCAAGAAAGUAUACAUGAAUGGAGUUUCUACUGAAGACGGGCUUUCCGUAACUUCAGAUGAGUAUGUUAAGUAUCAUGAUCUAGGAAGUGGUGAAAACAAUGAUGAUAUGAAAGGAAAAGUAGAAAAUGUUGAUGCAAAAGGAAAUAGUGGACAGAGCUAAAAAGAGAAUACGUUGUUAAAUGAUGGGAAAAAGGGAGAGGCUGGUCGUGCAACUCUUGAUCAUGAUCAAGAUGUAGUAUUGUAAGGACAUUACAAGGAUGGAAGGCAAUAAAGAGAUGAAAGAUCAUUUAAUAAGGGCUAAAGGUUACUUAGCUUUUCAAUACCAACUAACAAUGCUCAUUAAAUGAAGGAAUUAUGAUUACGAAUUAAGGAAUUAAAGCGAGCCAUGGGAAAAGUCACUAAAGAUCUUGACAUAUCUAAGAGUCACGCAGGUGCCAGGUUGAAAUUAUCCAUGUACAACUUUACAUUUCCGAGAGGAAAGUGCAGGAACAGUCUUUCCCGCAUGGAUGGGAAAGUCUGGUGUGAUGCAAUGAGGCACAGGGGUCUCCUUUCCACCAGUGAGGAUCGAGCUGGACGUUAAGGAAUUGACCAUACAAUGAUUGUUUUCAUUGAUGCCACUGUGGAGAAACUAACUAAAACAACAGCACAUGCACUUCUGAAUGGUGAAACUGAGGAUACGAGUGAUGAUUCGGUCAUCUGGAAGCGUUUGCUAUCCCUGGUGCAGCACACACCCCUGAAGCUCAAUUCCGGUACAUAUACUACCAAUAUGGGGAGUACCAAGGUUUCAAUUGUUGGGUAGAGCUAUAUUUAAAAUACUCAUUGGAUAUAGGGUUUGAUUCUAUAAUAGUGUCAUCGUGCUAUCAUUUAUGCUCUGUAAACGCACGUAAGAGUAAUACUGUGUCCUCAAUGUAAGAUGGAAUCUCAAAACUGUACAUUACAAAUGUUUUUAAGUUGUGAUCAAAUUUAUGAUAGAAUUUACGAGGAACUUAAUGCAUUUUAAUUCUAAUUGUUA